UACGUAGGGGGCGAGCGUUGUCCGGAUUCAUUGGGCGUAAAGCGCGUGUAGGCGGCUCGAUAAGUCUGCUGUGAAAGUCCAGGGCUCAACCCUGGAAUGCCGGUGGAAACUGUCGGGCUAGAGUCCGGAAGAGGCGAGUGGAAUUCCUGGUGUAGCGGUGAAAUGCGCAGAUAUCAGGAGGAACACCAAUGGCGAAGGCAGCUCGCUGGGACGGUACUGACGCUGAGACGCGAAAGCGUGGGGAGCAAACAGG
rnacentral:rRNA from 1 species